rnacentral:rRNA from 1 species
AGGACGAACGCUGGCGGCGUGCUUAACACAUGCAAGUCGAACGAGGCGCUUGCGCCUAGUGGCGAACGGGUGAGUAACACGUGAGCAACCUGCCCUUGGCUCUGGGAUAGCCUCCGGAAAACGGGGAUUAAUACCGGACAUGACCUUCUCCUGCAUGGGGGAGGGUGGAAAGUUUUUCGGCCAGGGAGGGGCUCGCGGCCUAUCAGCUUGUUGGGGGGGUAACGGCCCACCAAGGCGACGACGGGUAGCCGGCCUGAGAGGGCGACCGGCCACACUGGGACUGAGACACGGCCCAGACUCCUACGGGAGGCAGCAGUGGGGAAUAUGCACAAUGGGGGAAACCCUGAUGCAGCGACGCCGCGUGCGGGAUGAAGGCCUUCGGGUUGUAAACCGCUUUCAGCAGGGCGAAUUCAGACGGUACCUGCAGAAGAAGCGCCGGCUAACUACGCGCCAGCAGCCGC